ensembl:lncRNA
CCAAACCCUGCGCUGAGCCCCACCGCAAAGGGGCUGAGAUGUGUUGGAGACCCCCCCCCUUAAGCAGCACCAAAAGGGUUUUGCAGCACAGAGGAGAAGCAAAGCAGGACAGCACAGAGCAGGGGCACAGCAUGGGUGUACACGUGGGGACGCACAGCCAUCACUCGGCUCCUUUGCUCUCUGCCCACACCCUGCAGCCCAAACCUUCCCCCCCCCCCCCUCCAGAAGUUCCCCUCCUUUCUCCUGCAUUAUUUCCCUGCCAUUUCAGCCCCGUUCUCUCCGCUUCUGCUGGAGGUCUGAGGGCGCUCAGGUGGAUCCUGACGGGCCACGCUCCGCUGCCUCCAUCCCUGCAAGACGUGAGGAUGGAGCUGAUGGCUGCGGGUGGGGAUGCCGCCCUGCAGCUGUCUGAAACACGAAGCAAAUCCCUUCCUCCCCAUUGCACAACUCACUCCUGGACAGGGGGCUGCAGGGCUGAUCCCCUCUAAUCCCACACUGGCUCAGUGCCCGGGCUCAGCGCCUUCCCACCACCCCAUCCCCUCGGAUUAUUGGUGCCCGUUGCCUUCAUAAGGGGCAGAAGGGAGCCUGGGCUCAUCCUGGGGCUGCGGUCACCGCCUGAGCUCCGUGGGGACGAUGAAGCCGUACGCAGUGCUGCUGCUGGCGGGGCUGGCCUGCUGCCUGGCUGCGGGCUUGCCCGUCAAUGAGACGCCGGCCGUGGGGCAAGACGCGAAGGUGAGCGGCAGAGCUGCCGAAGGAGCGCUGGUGGAUUUGGCUGACGUGGUGGAGAGCCUCCUGCGCUCCCUGGGGGACACCCUGGCCGGGGCAGUCCGACUGCUGAUAGGGGGAAAAGAGAAAUAGCUGGCGUGGUGAGCGCCGAACUGCCCUGCUGGGGACGUGGGGACAUCAUGGGGACGUGGGGACAACAUGGGGACAUCAUGGGGACACCAUAGGGACGUGGUGCUCCAUCCGUGGGCUCUGCUCCACCCCCAGGUGCCUCCAAUGCCACCAGCUCGCCCUGCAGCUCUUCCUACGUGAGCACUGCUCCGAACAAAGCUUCCAAUAAAGCAGACUGCUAAUUGCUGCCCGUCCUGUCCCUCCUGCUGCUCGCCCACAGAGGCUGCGCUGUGCCCCGGGGUGCCACCUCCCUUGGA